rnacentral:rRNA from 1 species
AGUGAACGCUGGCGGUAGGCCUAACACAUGCAAGUCGAACGGCAGCACAGGAGAGCUUGCUCUCUGGGUGGCGAGUGGCGGACGGGUGAGGAAUACUUCGGAAUCUACUCUGUCGUGGGGGAUAACGUAGGGAAACUUACGCUAAUACCGCAUACGACCUACGGGUGAAAGCAGGGAUCUUCGGACCUUGCGCGAUUGAAUGAGCCGAUGUCGGAUUAGCUAGUUGGCGGGGUAAAGGCCCACCAAGGCGACGAUCCGUAGCUGGUCUGAGAGGAUGAUCAGCCACACUGGAACUGAGACACGGUCCAGACUCCUAUGGGAGGCAGCAGUGGGGAAUAUUGGACAAUGGGCGCAAGCCUGAUCCAGCCAUACCGCGUGGGUGAAGAAGGCCUUCGGGUUGUAAAGCCCUUUUGUUGGGAAAGAAAUCCAGCUGGCUAAUACCCGGUUGGGAUGACGGUACCCAAAGAAUAAGCACCGGCUAACUUCGUGCCAGCCGCCGCCGUAA